ACCUAAAGUAGACCCAGGAGUUCUUCUGAGAGCCGCCACUGGCAGGAAGUGACCGAGCUGUGAGCCACCAGCUUCACUGUGUGACGCGCUUUGUGACAAGCUGCCAGGGCCAGGAGCUGUAGCAGCUGCGCUUGAACUUGUGGCUGGCUGCAGUCCCUUGGAAAGGGAAGGGGCACAUCUGGAAGGCGGGUCUGAGUGCCCCAUGAAGCUCAGGUUGGAGAAGCCACAGACCUGAUACACAAGGCUGAACACGGGGACAGCAGCACUUCCUACUGGCCUCUCAUAGGCAGCUGGGGAAACCCCUUCUUCAUGCAGCAAGUCGGGAAGAUAUGGAUAUCCAACGAGGGGUCUGAAGU
rnacentral:lncRNA from 1 species